CAGAGUCUUACUGAGAUUUUAGCUGGCCGAGGAAGAGGCGUAAGUUUAAGAAGAUUGCGCCGGCUGAUUCGUCCUGACUUUCCUGGCUACAGCUGGUAUGAGAUGGAACUUCAGCUUAGUAAUUGUCUUUGUCAGAAAAUACUAUUUGGGUUUAUGAGUAUUUUUGGGGGCCAACUGAAAGAUCCCAAGAUGAAAACUCAGCCAAGUUUCAAACUUCCAGAUUGAGGAGAAAAUAUUAUAAACAACAUAAGGGAAACAUGUAACUACACUUAACUGAGGAUAAUGCAAGACCUAGCAGCUUCUACAUGAAGAUAGCAGUGCUUUGGACAUUUUCAAAGAAGAAAAGAGCCAAGAUUUGGAGUCAAAAAUAACUUACCAAGCAAAACUGAGUAUAAUCCUGAACAGAGGAAAAGAUGGACAGUUAAAGUGGAAAAAAUCUUAUUUGUGACAGACCAGGACUUCAAUAGAAAAUUUGAUGUCUAAGAUCCAGGACAGUCAAGAUCAGGCAUAAGGGACUCAAUAAGAUCAAAUUGUUGACAUAUCAAAAUUCUUAAAUCUGUCAUCAUAGUUUGAAAGAAAGGUGUGAGUUAUAUGAUGAGUUGAUUCUAAAAUAAAUGAAAUUAGGUAGGGAGAGGUAAAGAGGAGCUGAGCAUUAUACAAAUGAAGCAUGAAAGGAAAAACUGGCUACAAAGAAUGUGGGGGGUGGAAGGCUGGUAGUGGUCUACCCAUCCUUAUUCUUCUCAUCAGAAAAUAUUUAGAUAUAAGGUCUCUAGAUUUUAUAGAGGGCGAGGCAGUGGGAUAGAUGUGGUCAACUUAAAGAAUAGGAGCGAUUUUUUUUUUUUUUAAGAGGUGUAGAUCGAGGAGGUAGGAGUAAUUUGGGAUCAAAGUUUAUAAGAAAUAGUUCAAAUAAAGGGCUGCAAUAGAAUCCUUUCAGCUGAUAAAAAGAGAAAGGGGGAUAGCAAUCAUCUUAAAAGUUUGAUUUUAAAAUAGGCAUAAACGAGAAAUGGGGAAAAUCUGAUGAGACCCUAUUUUCUAUCAGACUUAGGGAUAAAUGAACAAUUUAUGAAUGUGAGCAUUGAAAGAUAUAAAAUUGAAAAAUAUGAUUAUAUUAAAUUAACAAGUUUUUAUGCAAAUGUAACAAACAUAGCCAAGAUCAGAAGGAAAGCAGAAAGGUAGAGGAAUUUUUAUGGAUGGGAAAAGUCUCAUGUAAUAUGUGAAGAACUUGAUAAAAUGAUGCCAUAUGACCAGUCAAUUUUUGAAGAUAUUAAAAUAAUUUAGUCAUAUGGAAAGGCUCUAAAUCAAUGACUAGAAAAAUGCAAAUUAAAACAAUCUUGAAAUUUCUUAUUGGCUAUCAGAUUGGCUAAAAUGAUAGAAGGGGAAAACAUGUUAGAGGAGAUAUAAAAAAAAAAAAUGGGAUUUUUUUUUUUUUUUUUUUUUGGUAGAAUGUGAAUUGAUGCAACCAUUUUGGAGAGCCAUCUGGAAUUAUGCUCAAAGAGUUAUUAAAACUGCCUGUACCUUUUUGAUCAAGUAAUAUUGCUAGACUAGUAGAUCUGUUUCCAAAGAUGAUAGAAGGGGAAAAUCCUAUAUCUUCAAAAAUAUUCAUUAGCAUCUUUUUGAGGUUACCAAAAAAAUGAAAAUUGCAGGGAUGCCCGUCAAUUGGGGAAUGGCUAAAGUUAUGGUAUGGGAUUAGGAUGGAACAUCGACUAUAAGAAAUGAGUUCUAUCUUGGAAAAAUAGACUUGAACAAAAAAAUUAGCAAAACCAAGUUUUGUAUACAUUAAUAGUAAUAUGUCAAGUGUUAUGUCCUUUGUAGGUGAUUUGAAUGGCAAUGGCUCUGCUUAUAGAGAAAAGUGGCAUAUGCACAGAUUAGUUUUACAAAUGUAUAUACAUAAUGAAAGACAUCGUUGGGAUAGGGUGGGAAGGAAAGGAAGAAAUGUAAAGAGCGUAGGAGAGAAUGGAGAACUUAAAACGAAGCAUUUCUUUAAGAAGUUUUUUUUUUUUUUAAAUCAAAAGUGAAUGUAAAUUCAUGGUUUAAUAGUGAAUUCUCUGUAUCUUGUGCUGUGUACCUGAAAAUGUUUUUGUCUGUGUAUUUAAGUUCAGAACAAAUUAGAAAAAUAUCUUUGGCCUCUUUUUCAAAAUACUGCAGUUUUCUCAUUUUCUGGGGAUUUUUAUGUUUAUAGGAUUGAACUAGCAUCACUCCUGUAAUCAAAGAAAUAUAUAUAACAGAAGAUGGGUGAAGAUUUCCACCAUGACAGACCUUGAUGUGGGCCUAGAAGACUAUCAGUGUUUAAGAUUUAAAAAUUCCUAAUCUGUAACCCCAAGAAAGUAUCUCUAUGAAAACAGUCCUACUGGAGAAGGAACAUGGAAAUGAUUUCAGAAGCAACGUCAUUCCUUGCUUGAACUGCAGAGUGCAACAACAAAGACUUUUGGUGUUGCCCUUCUUCACUCCUUUCCUAAUCCUUACUUCUUGAUGGAGUCCUAGUUGGUCAAUCAAAGUAACCUUAUUUUAUCCCCAAGAAAAGUAUGCCUAAUAUGUCAAGAGACUUGAGACUGUCCUCUGAAAUGACCAAUUCAGUGUCAGUAGCAUUUGAGACUGAUCUAGUCCUUUGAAAAAUCCCUUUAGCUCUCUAAGAUGAGAAGGCUCCAUGGUCCUCCUUCGGAAGUAAAUAUUAAAUGGAUCAUUGGACUGAGUUAUUUGAUAACAAAAUAAAGUUUUUUUUGGUGUCUAUGUAGGGGCUUUUCCCCCUCAUCUUAUCACUAGAGAGAUAAUGUGCUUCGGAUAUAUCAAAUGAGUAGAUUGAUAAAACUGGACUUUUUGUUCAAAAACUAGCUUCUUGGGAGAAACUUAGAAGCUUUAAUAUGCCACUAAUGUAUUAUCCAGACAACCAGCAAGGACUCCUUAAACAUUCCAGAGAAAAGGGCACUGUCAGUUCUAUAGACAUACAUGACUUGUGAUCUCUGAUCUUUAUUUUUUCCCCUCUGUUGGGGGGCCAUUCUGAAAAGAUUGACAUGAGUUCUUGAUGCCAGUGAACUUGGAAACCAUUGGCAGGCAAACAGUUUGUAUUUUUAUCAGGACACUACCCUGCGUAAAGGGGUUCUGCUUCUUUCAUUCAGAAAGACCAUUUCCACGCCACAGUUGUGGGGUCUCUUCUUUGACCUUCAGCCUAAAAGUUACUUUUAUUAAAAAAUUUAAUAAAUUUUCAGUUUAAAAAUGA